rnacentral:rRNA from 1 species
CACCAAACGUCCAUAAGUUUACAUACGCAUGUGUGGGGUCCAUAAACUCAUAAGUUUACAUAUACAUAUGUGGGGCCGAUGUUUGCGGGUGUGUAUACAUCAUGCAUGACGACAAUGUGUAUCCUUAGUUAGCUCACCUAGCUAAUCGAUCGAUAUAUGUAUGAUGAUCACCAGAUCAUGUGCACUCUCGUCUAGCUCGCCGAGCUAAUCGAUCUAUCUCCGAUCGAAACGAACGACCUCCUAGUGACGUAGCUCGACUCGUACCUGCCCAUCGAAGACGACGGCGCUCAACGACGACGAACGAGGCAACUGACGACGAGAAACUCCUCCGACGCCGUGAAGCCGCAUCCGCCGCCGCCGCACCUCACCUCCUCACCUGCCUCUCCUCCCUCUCGGCCAUCGGUAACUCCUCUCCUACCCCUAUAUUAUUCCCUC